CGAAGGUGGCAAGCGUUACUCGGAAUUACUAGGCGUAAAGGGCAGGUAGGCGGUUCGGUUGGUCUGUUGUGAAAGCUCCUUGCUUAACGGGGAGAGGCCAACAGAUACUGCCGGACUUGAGUAUAGGAGAGGGUACUGGAAUUCCCGGUGUAGCGGUGAAAUGCGCAGAGAUCGGGAGGAACACCAAUGGCGAAAGCAGGUACCUGGACUAUUACUGACGCUCAGCUGCGAAAGCUAGGGGAGCAAACAGGAUUAGAUACCCUGGUAGUCCUAGCCGUAAACGAUGCACAUUAGGCGUGAGGGGUAUCGACCCCCUUCGUGCCGAAGCAAACGCAUUAAAUGUGCCGCCUGGGGAGUACGGCCGCAAGGUUG
rnacentral:rRNA from 1 species